GGGUUCUCUCCGGUCCCCAGUGCAUGGGCUGGAGUGUGGCCCCUGGCAGAGCCCUAGAGGCCGGCUCUGCUUCCUGCCCCCUUCCAGCUUGGAGCAGCCCGAGGGCGCAGCAUUCCUGGGGCAGGCCUGAGCCCUGUGGUGGGCUGAGUUGAGUCCCCAGAAAGGAUCUAUGAAAGAUAAAAUGUGGUGUGAGGACACGGCCCAGCCCCACCGUCGUCUUCCAGCCCCACCGUCGUCUUCUAGCCCCACCAUCGUCAUCUUGGACUCUCUGGGUGGCACCACGCUGUGGGUGCUGCUCUCCUCUGUGUCCCAAACGAGUUUGUGCCUCACUUUGUCGGGUUUUGGCUGUGACUUGGAGCCUCACCAAGCUCCCUUUUCCUCUGUCUCCCAUUCUCCUCUCCAGGCCAGGGUGGCUUCCCCAGCCCUCCUCCCUGGGUCCUGCCUGUGCCGAGCCUUCCUCCCAGGAGGGAGGUGAUACUGACUUGAGAUCUUAUGGGUGUUUUGUGUGUGGCUGGGCCUGGCCGACCCUCUCUCCACGGCCUUAGAUCAUGCUCUGGAUGGAUAGGACAGUCGUCCUCAAUACUGAGCCUCUUUGGAACAUACCCACUGAUGGUGGUUCACAAGCUACCCACGCCCACAGGCUGACCCAGAUCUCCGUGAAAUUAAAAAAUACUGUGAAAGGAAAAAGAGCCAAUGUCAUGUGGAUAAUGAAGCGUCAGCCACUGAAAAAUCUCAAAAUAAUAAA
rnacentral:lncRNA from 1 species